rnacentral:rRNA from 1 species
GAGUUUUAUCCUGGCUCAGGAUGAACGCUAGCGGCAGGCUUAACACAUGCAAGUCGAGGGGUAUUGGUUUUCGGACCAAGAGACCGGCGCACGGGUGCGUAACGCGUAUGCAAUCUACCUUUUACAGAGAGAUACCCCAGAGAAAUUUGGAAUAAUACCUCAUAAUAUUAUUGCUCGGCAUCGAGUGACAAUUAAAGUUUCGGCGGUGAAAGAUGAGCAUGCGUCCCAUUAGCUAGUUGGUAAGGUAACGGCUUACCAAGGCAACGAUGGGUAGGGGUCCUGAGAGGGAGAUCCCCCACACUGGUACUGAGACACGGACCAGACUCCUACGGGAGGCAGCAGUGAGGAAUAUUGGUCAAUGGACGCAAGUCUGAACCAGCCAUGCCGCGUGCAGGAUGACGGUCCUAUGGAUUGUAAACUGCUUUUGUACAGGAAGAAACAGUUCUACGUGUAGAACCUUGACGGUACUGUAAGAAUAAGGAUCGGCUAACUCCGUGCCAGCAGCCGCGGUAAUACGGAGGAUCCAAGCGUUAUCCGGAAUCAUUGGGUUUAAAGGGUCCGUAGGCGGUUUAGUAAGUCAGUGGUGAAAGCCCAUCGCUCAACGGUGGAACGGCCAUUGAUACUGCUAGACUUGAAUUAUUAGGAAGUAACUAGAAUAUGUAGUGUAGCGGUGAAAUGCUUAGAGAUUACAUGGAAUACCAAUUGCGAAGGCAGGUUACUACUAAUGGAUUGACGCUGAUGGACGAAAGCGUGGGUAGCGAACAGGAUUAGAUACCCUGGUAGUCCACGCCGUAAACGAUGGAUACUAUGUGUUGGGCCCAAUGACCCCUGCAGUGGCUAAGCGAAAGUGAUAAGUAUCCCACCUGGGGAGUACGUUCGCAAGAAUGAAACUCAAAGGAAUUGACGGGGGCCCGCACAAGCGGUGGAGCAUGUGGUUUAAUUCGAUGAUACGCGAGGAACCUUACCAAGGCUUAAAUGUAGAUUGACCGGUUUGGAAACAGACUUUUCGCAAGACAAUUUACAAGGUGCUGC